rnacentral:rRNA from 1 species
UACGUAGGGUGCAAGCGUUGUCCGGAAUUAUUGGGCGUAAAGAGCUCGUAGGCGGUGUGUCGCGUCGGCCGUGAAAACCUGGGGCUCAACUCUGGGCGUGCGGUCGAUACGGGCAUCACUGGAGUUCGGCAGGGGAGACUGGAAUUCCUGGUGUAGCGGUGAAAUGCGCAGAUAUCAGGAGGAACACCGGUGGCGAAGGCGGGUCUCUGGGCCGAUACUGACGCUGAGGAGCGAAAGCGUGGGGAGCAAACAGG